rnacentral:lncRNA from 1 species
GGCUGGCUCGAGCGAUCUGCAGGAAGCCUUACCAGUCUGCAGCUGCCCAGCCAGGGACCAGAGAAAUGCAACAGGAACCCAUGCUUGUCUGCAAUAAUUUACAGGACCCCGUUCGAGUUCCCUGGUUGAGAUAAAUACAUCGACCCACGCAGGUAGAAUUUUCUUCUCAAGAGUCUCUUUCUCCUCCUGACAUCGGGGGGCCAUGGGAGAAGUUUCCCACUUCCAGCUCUGGGGAAAGUGCGGAAGGUGGCAGGGAGCUGUGGAAAGCGGAGGUGGCUUGGGAGAGGACUGGGCUGUGGAGUCCCGGGCGGCUCCCGCGACUUCUCUGGAAUGCUUCCGCGCUGCAGGCCCUGGAUGAGGCGUGGAUAUGCAGGGUGUAGAGCGGCAGACCCGGAUGGACCGGCUGGUGCGGUGCUCGGGUCCGAGUGGAGCGGGCGUUCUCGCUUCGCGGCUUGCAACCGGCCUUCACAGUUCAGGCUGCAGCGGCAGAAAUAUUGAGACUGACGGCAAGAAAGUAUCCCAACGCUUUCCCGCUCUUCUGGAGCUGCCUCCACCCCAUCCCCGCCGCCGCAUCCUUCUUUUUGAAUAAAUUUUCCGAGAA